rnacentral:rRNA from 1 species
GGGCCGCACCUAUGGUAAGCACCCUCCGGGGUGGACUGCCGGCCGGCGCCCUAAUGGCCGUGGGCUUCGGCUCCGGUCACGAAUACCUCGAACAAAUGAGAGCGCAUGAGGCAGGCACAUGUUGCCGGAAUCUAUUAGCAUGGAAUAACACAUGGACCGCAGCGUCUUGUUGUUGGUUAAAGACGAUGCAGUAAUGAUUAACAGGGGUACUCGGGGCCAACCGUACUCUGGGGCUAGGGGUGAAAUCCUGUGACCCUCAGAAGACGACCUAAUGCGAAAGCAGUUGGCUAGGGUACUUUCAUUGAUCAAGCACGAAGGGUGGGGGAGCAAAGACGAUUAGACACCGUUGUAGUCCCACCAGUAAACGAUGUCGACGCGAUCACGGGUGUCUGUGUUAGCAGCGCUCGGGAGCGUAUAGAAAUUAGAGUCUUUGGACUCUGGGGGGAGUAUGGUCGCAAGUCUGAAACUUAAAGGAAUUGACGGAAGGGCACAACCAGGCGUGGAGCCUGCGGCUUAAUUUGACUCAACACGGGGAAGCUCACCAGGGGCAGGACAUGAUUAGGAUUGACAGACAUGACAGAUCUUUCAUGAUCUCAUGGGUGGUGGUGCAUGGCCGUUCUUAGUUCGUGGGGUGACUUGUCUGGUUGAUUCCGAUAACGAGCGAGACCGAGACCCAAGGUUGGCGCCGUUUCCCUCAUGUUCUUUGGGGCUUCGAGGGCGGCGCUCUUCUUGCGCCUUGGGGACCGGCGCCCGGUUAAGGGCGUGGAGGUGCUUGGCAAUAACAGGUCUGUGAUGCCCUUAGAUGUCCUGGGCCGCACGCGCGCUACACUGAUGCAGACAAUGGGCAUUCACCUAUUCCGAGAGGGCUGGGUAAUCCUGUGAGGCUGCAUCGUGCUGGGGAUCGAGCACUGGAACUGUGCUCGUGAACAUGGAAUGCCUUGUAAUCGUGAGUCAUCAACUCACGAUGAAUACGUCCCUGCCCUUUGUACACACCGCCCGUCGUUAUUUCCGAUCGAAUGGCUCGGUGAGGCGGUAGGAGCUUCGCGCGCGCCGGCUUGCUGGUCGCGAUGCGAGGCAAACACCUUCGAACUCGGCCAUUUAGAGNAAGUACAAGUCGUAACANGUUUCCGUAGGUGAACCUGCGGAAGGA